rnacentral:rRNA from 1 species
CCUACGGGUGGCAGCAGUGAGGAAUAUUGGUCAAUGGACGAGAGUCUGAACCAGCCAAGUAGCGUGAAGGAUGACUGCCCUAUGGGUUGUAAACUUCUUUUAUCUGGGAAUAAAAUGUUCCACGUGUGGGCUUUUGUAUGUACCAUACGAAUAAGGCUCGGCUAACUCCGUGCCAGCAGCCGCGGUUAUACGGAGGAGCCGAGCGUUAUCCGGAUUUUUUGGGUUUAAAGGGAGCGUAGGUGGAUUGUUAAGUUAGUUGUGAAAGUUUGCGGCUCAACCGUGAAAUUGCAGUUGAAACUGGCAGUCUUGAGUACAGUAGAGGUAGGCGGAAUGCGUGGUGUAGCGGUGAAAUGCUGAGAUAUCACGAAGAACUCCGAUUGCGAAGGCAGCUCACUGGACUGCAACUGACACUGAGGCUCGAAAGUGUGGGUAUCAAACAGGAUUAGAUACCCGUGUAGUC